AUGAUUGCUAAUCUCAGUACUUCAUCUUGCAAGAGGAAGGAUAAAUUGCUUGACAAGCAAAAAGAGGUUCUUUUGGAUAAGAUUAAGAGUGGUGAGAUGCCGACGGGAAGAGGGAAAAAUCAAGAAACAUCCUUGGUCAGACCUGAAGAUACAAGAUGGGGCUCUCAUUACACAACCUUAUCUCGCAUUGAAUCAAUGUGGGAUGCAGUCAUAGAGGUUUUGGGCAUUGUUGAGGAUGAUGUGCGUGUUUCAUGUAGGGCUGGAGGUUUGGUUCAUCAAAUGGAGACUUUUAGCUUUGUGUUCAUCCUGAAGAUGAUGCUAAAAAUCCUUCGCAUGACAAAUGAUUUGUCUCUUCUAUUGCAAAAGAAGGAUCAAAAUAUUGUUCAGGCAAUGUCAUUGGUUACGGAUGUGAGAACACGUUUGAUCAACUGGAGAAAUAAUGGUUGGAAGACACUCUUGGAAGAUGUCAAAGCCUUUUGCGCCAAAAACGACAUUCCCAUACCAAAUAUGGAUGACAUCUUCACAAAGUGGGGGAAAUCAAGAAAAGGUGGACGAAACAAUGUCACGGCUGACCAUUUUUUCCGCGUGGACACCUUCUAUGCUGCCAUAGACUCCAUCACCACAGAGUUUGAUCAUCGUUUUAAU
rnacentral:rRNA from 1 species